rnacentral:rRNA from 1 species
UACAGAGGGCUCAAGCGUUGUUCGGAUUCAUUGGGCGUAAAGGGAGCGUAGGUGGCGGGGUUAGUCAGGUGUGAAAUCUCGGGGCUCAACCCCGAAACUGCACUUGAUACUGCCUUGCUAGAGUACUGGAGAGGAGAUUGGAAUUUACGGUGUAGCAGUGAAAUGCGUAGAUAUCGUAAGGAAGACCAGUGGCGAAGGCGAAUCUCUGGACAGUUACUGACGCUGAGGCGCGAAGGCCAGGGGAGCAAACGGG